CGGCGACAAGAAGCCUCAGAACCACUCCAGAACCAGCGUUCUCGGCGGCGAGUUUCGGUGGGUUUGGUAACAAUGAACACACUGAUCUCCGCUUAGCCUUUGCCCUGCUGAAAAACCAGCGUUCUCGGCGGCGAGUUUCGGUGGGUUUGGUAACAAUGAACACACUGAUCUCCGCUUAGCCUUUGCACUGCUGAACAAGCAACCUCAGGGGAGUUCUUCGCAUAUAGGGUUUCCUUCAGCAUUCGGUAACUCUAACUCUCAUCAGUCUGACAUGGAGAGUGUGUUUGGAACAAGCCAGAAAAAUGA
rnacentral:lncRNA from 1 species